rnacentral:rRNA from 1 species
UACGUAGGGAGCAAGCGUUAUCCGGAAUUACUGGGUGUAAAGGGAGUGUAGGCGGGACUGCAAGUCAGAUGUGAAAAUUAUGGGCUCAACUCAUAACCUGCAUUUGAAACUGUAGUUCUUGAGUGAAGUAGAGGUAAGCGGAAUUCCUAGUGUAGCGGUGAAAUGCGUAGAUAUUAGGAGGAACAUCAGUGGCGAAGGCGGCUUACUGGGCUUUUACUGACGCUGAGGCUCGAAAGCGUGGGGAGCAA